GAAACGCGUUACGUAUAUUUACAAACUGAGUUUUCGAUCGUCUACACGUACAUUUGCGACAGCUAUACUUAAAGGUCGAGUUUUUCCGUAUUCUCCCGCCCUCCCCGCUGCUUUAUCUUAACCCGCGGUGGUUUUUCGUGAACUAUACGGGAGGUAGUAAGCUUUGGGACGAUACGACUUUCUCGGAGCAUCAGGCUCGAAUCGAGAAUCCUGCGGGUGGACAGUUUAAGUUUUGUAAAACCUCCUGAAACCCUCAGAACCGACU